UGGGCGUUAAGUUGCAGGGUAUAGACCCGAAACCCGGUGAUCUAGCCAUGGGCAGGUUGAAGGUUGGGUAACACUAACUGGAGGACCGAACCGACUAAUGUUGAAAAAUUAGCGGAUGACCUGUGGCUGGGGGUGAAAGGCCAAUCAAACCGGGAGAUAGCUGGUUCUCCCCGAAAGCUAUUUAGGUAGCGCCUCGUGAAUUCAUCUCCGGGGGUAGAGCACUGUUUCGGCUAGGGGGCCAUCCCGGCUUACCAACCCGAUGCAAACUGCGAAUACCGGAGAAUGUUAUCACGGGAGACACACGGCGGGUGCUAACGUCCGUCGUGAAGAGGGAAACAACCCAGACCGCCAGCUAAGGUCCCAAAGUCAUGGUUAAGUGGGAAACGAUGUGGGAAGGCCCAGACAGCCAGGAUGUUGGCUUAGAAGCAGCCAUCAUUUAAAGAAAGCGUAAUAGCUCACUGGUCGAGUCGGCCUGCGCGGAAGAUGUAACGGGGCUAAACCAUGCACCGAAGCUGCGGCAGCGACACUGUGUGUUGUUGGGUAGGGGAGCGUUCUGUAAGCCUGUGAAGGUGUGUCGUGAGGCAUGCUGGAGGUAUCAGAAGUGCGAAUGCUGACAUAAGUAACGAUAAAGCGGGUGAAAAGCCCGCUCGCCGGAAGACCAAGGGUUCCUGUCCAACGUUAAUCGGGGCAGGGUGAGUCGACCCCUAAGGCGAGGCCGAAAGGCGUAGUCGAUGGGAAACGGGUUAAUAUUCCCGUACUUGGUGUUACUGCGAAGGGGGGACGGAGAAGGCUAUGUUGGCCGGGCGACGGUUGUCCCGGUUUAAGCGUGUAGGUGUGUGUUCCAGGUAAAUCCGGUUCACUUUAACACUGAGGCGUGACGACGAGGCACUACGGUGCUGAAGCAACAAAUGCCCUGCUUCCAGGAAAAGCCUCUAAGCAUCAGGUAACAUCAAAUCGUACCCCAAACCGACACAGGUGGUCAGGUAGAGAAUACCAAGGCGCUUGAGAGAACUCGGGUGAAGGAACUAGGCAAAAUGGUGCCGUAACUUCGGGAGAAGGCACGCUGACACGUAGGUGAAGUGAUUUACUCAUGGAGCUGAA
rnacentral:rRNA from 1 species